UACGAAGGGGGCUAGCGUUGCUCGGAAUUACUGGGCGUAAAGUGUGCGCAGGCGGCCGAGCAAGUCGAGUGUGAAAGCCCCGAGCUUAACUUGGGAACUGCGCUCGAAACUACUUGGCUAGAGUGUGGCAGAGGGAGGUGGAAUUCCACGUGUAGCGGUGAAAUGCGUAGAGAUGUGGAGGAACACCGAUGGCGAAGGCAGCCUCCUGGGCCAACACUGACGCUCAUGCACGAAAGCGUGGGGAGCAAACAGG
rnacentral:rRNA from 1 species